UACGAAGGGGGCGAGCGUUGUUCGGAAUUACUGGGCGUAAAGAGCGCGUAGGCGGUUCUUUAAGUCAGAUGUGAAAGCCCCAGGCUCAACCUGGGAAUUGCAUUUGAUACUGAAGGGCUAGAGUUUUGGAGAGGAUAGCGGAAUUCCCAGUGUAGAGGUGAAAUUCGUAGAUAUUGGGAAGAACACCAAUGGCGUAGGCAGCUAUCUGGCCACAAACUGACGCUGAGGCGCGAAAGCGUGGGGAGCAAAC
rnacentral:rRNA from 1 species